GCCAGAAGCUGCUGUGGCUGCUGCUUAAUGUUUCCAGUUUGGUUUGUGUUUGUUGAAAUGGAUCACAUAGCUUAAUGAUCUUUGUUUAUCAUAAGGGCCAUAUCAUCUGCUAGUAAAUUUGCUUAAACUGUGUUUACUGCAAUAAAAAAAAGGUUGGGUGUUUGUCAUAUUUCUCGUCUCUGUCUGUACCUUGGAAAUAGUGAAUGAUCCAGAUGUUGUGAACUUGUGAUAUUUCCAAUCUCUCCAUCUCAUGUGCACAAAAUUGGUUUUGGUUAUAUUCUGAUAAUUUUGGAGGAUUGCAACCAUGAAUUUGUGGAGUUUCUGGACAUAACAGUGGUUCCAUUCUGGAACCAGAAGAUAACAUAUGUACUGAUAUAUUUUAUUUUGUAGUUUUUAUUUUUCCAUCAAUAAAAAAAUAUGUAGCCAAAUGGGAUCUAUGUAUGGUGAAAUGUGAUUCUCAAUAUAAAUAAAACAGGUUUUUUUAUGAAUAUAUAUAUUUGCACUUCAAGUAUAAAGAGUAGAUUUUUUUUUUUAAUUUUUAAUUUAAUUUAAUUUAUUAUUAUU
rnacentral:lncRNA from 1 species